UACGUAGGGUGCAAGCGUUGUCCGGAUUUAUUGGGCGUAAAGAGCGUGUAGGCGGCCAGGUAGGUCUGCUGUGAAAACUCGAGGCUUAACCUCGAGAUGUCGGCGGAAACCAUCUGGCUAGAGUCCGGAAGAGGAGAAUGGAAUUCCCGGUGUAGCGGUGAAAUGCGCAGAUAUCGGGAGGAACACCUAUGGCGAAGGCAGCUCGCUGGGACGUUACUGACGCUGAGACGCGAAAGCGUGGGGAGCAAACAGG
rnacentral:rRNA from 1 species